UGCGGGGUAGAGCAGAGGCAGCUCGUCGGGCUCAUAACCCGGAGGUCGCGCGUUCGAAUCGCGCCCCCGCUA
rnacentral:tRNA from 2 species